AUUAACAUCCCUCUCCGGGUGGCGCAGGGGAGCUAGCCAAAGUUCCUCGCAAAGUGGCGAGCGAAGGAUCGCUGAGCACCAGCGUCUGUGCUGGGAAGGAGCUGGGCACAGCUGGGCAGAGCCGGGCUGGAGAGGGGAAACAGACGGAAGGGAAGGGCGAUAUUUUUCUCAGGGAUUUGAACUGGGGUCUGCAUCCUGGUCGUUGCGGUCCUUUUAGCAUCCUCGCCACGCCCUGAGCGCGCUCGCGGUUCACAGGCUGCGCCCCUCCCAGGGCCGAUGCUGCGUCCUGCUCCGCUGUUCUGGGACGUCGGGGGCAAAAGUGGAGGAGACGGGAGAGCCCGGGCAGAAAAAGCAGGAAGCGCGUCCCAGGUGCCCACCUCUUCGCUUUGAGGAGGGGGUGGUGGGGUGGAAAAAUGGGUGCUCGAGGUCGGGGCGGGAGAUCGCGGAGGGCACUUUUCUCCACGCUGGGAGAAGUGGGUGGACCCUGGGUCUCGGUUAGUGAGGCUCUGUGGGUCCCUCAUGGAGUAGGGGGACCCGGACUCUGUCCGUUGUCUGGCCUCUGAAAUGGUUCUCGUUCUGGUGCUAGCUUCGAGGCCGCGGGUGUUUAAGGCACCGUCCCCAUAAGCUCACUUAUGUCGAGUAAUCCGCGGGAUGUGUAAACGGUGGAAUGAAUGCUCUCACUAGAGUUGUAUCAGGAUGCAUUCUAAAAUUUACUCAGAUUCAUUUCCCAACCCCUACCCUCGCCCCAAAGUAUUUUUUUUUCUUUAGUGUAUUUACCAGAGCAACAACGUCUCUGAUUGAUUGGUUAUUUCAUGUAGGAUUUCUGUCUUCCUCAUUCUUUCAGUUUAAACGGGGGACUUGAACAAACCCACCCCAACUUCUGCCCCUGCCAGUUGUCCAGAAAGUGAGAGAUUGAGUUAAAAAGGAGGGGACUGGGGGGGGGAGGCUAAGAGAGAGGGAGGGAGAAAUGGUCUCCUACCUCAGACCUUUCUGUAUAUAUGCAUGUGAGUGGCAAAGAAAAUAGCUAGAAGUUUCCGGGUAAUGUGCCCCAUCAUUUUUUAGCAGGUCGUAACCUCUAAUAAGCACAUGGUGAACUUCUGUUUCAUUGCCCUCAGAGGAACUCCCUGACUGCAGCCAAAUCUGCUAAGGACUCCUUGGGGGGAGUUCUCUGCCAGAAAUCCAGGUCCCCUUUCUGCUGGCCUUCCUUGGCCCUUUGAUUUAGGAAGCUCAUGGGGUCAGUGACGGAACAGUACACACGCCCAUGUUGAAUGGAUGGAGACAGGCAAAAAUUACGCUUUGUGCUCUUGGCAGACCAGGAAAGUGAAAACCACUUCCCAGUUCCUAAACCAGAAAAAAGGACUGUGUUUCAGGUCCGUGAGUACACGGCCACUAUCCUUAAACACUACUUUAUCUUUGUGCACAAAGCGUGCCCUGCUCCCAUACCAUUUAAUCUGGACCACUAAUGUGCUGAGAGCACUUUGUCUCUGGCAAAAAUUAAUAAUUAAUUCAGUCUCCACCAAGACACUCCUGAAGAGAUGUGUCUGGUCCAUCAGGAUCUACGUAACAUCUACCAGAGUUCCUGACACACAGCACAUGUUCAGGAUGGUUAUGUUGGUGGAGAGACUGAAAGGGUUAUAACUUUGUGGGCAGGGGAAAGGAGGAGGGGACUUUCUCCAUCUCUACAGAAUUGAAACGCACAAUUAAAACUGGGCCUGCUGAAAACUUCCCAAAGAUCCAAGCUUAACCUCCAAAGUCCAAUGAGUCCCCCAGAGCCAAUCCCUUCCCCUGCCUGGACUAUCCCCUGCCUUCUCUGAGGGUAUCCUUCAAGGAAGGGGAACCAGGAAACAGAGGCCACCCUUCUAUCAAUGAGUUCCAGAUAGCCAGAGCUAAAGACUCAAGCUUCCCUCUCCUUAAUUGCCUGAACCUCCACUUUUACUCUCCAGUGAACUGUAUUCAGGACUCCAAGUUGAGUCUGGUAAAGUACAUUCCCCAGUGAGGGAGAACACACAAUGUAAUAGGGAUCAGAUCGCUGCCAAAGGCAAGCAGCAAAAGUGCCAGGAAAAGGGGAGAUACAGCCACUAUGAGGACCAGGAUCAAUGUGAAGCAUACAACAGAUGGACUUCUAAGGGGUCAAGCAGAAUCUAGAAGCACUCUGCAGAUUAUGUGUUUGCUGAGGGGCCUGAAGGUGCCUGUUUCAAAAGAGAAAUUGGCACAGAGAAAGAAAAUGUCAGCAGCCCAACUUCUGCCCCAGUGUAGGUAACCUCUAGAAACUAAAUAAGAAGGAGGCAAUUUCCACAUCUGCCAGGCCACAGGAAGAGGUAAAACAAAAAAAGGGCAAGAAUCUUUUGAUAAGACUAAUUCCUUUUGGCUGUUCAGAAACAGCAGAUACCUCACCUGGGAUGGUGAAUGACUUUCUUUUAAUCAAGCAGAAUGUAUUCAUAGCAUUUCUUCUGAGUGUUCUGGUGCUUUUAAACUGGCUUUUCUCGCCCAGUAAUAAAUGAUUAAGUAGGAAGGAAGUUAAAGAGAAGGUAGAAAGAGAUAUAGAGGGUGAUAGGAAACUGGGAACAACACCAGGCCAGCAGACUAGUAGGUUUUCGUGGAUUUCCUCUGGUGAAUAUUCAACUAGCAAUUGUAAUUUUAAACUUUGAAAAAUUCCUUAAACACUUGUCAAUCUUCCCUCCUGUGACGGAAGCACCACCUCCAGAAGACCAAGCAUGUGUGUGGAGAAGGGGUACUAUAAAGUAUGUACUGAGACUGACUUCAUCUUUUCUUAUAUUAUAGUCACUUCUGUGAAGAAAAAUACUUGUGUGUAUAGCAUUGCCCAGGAGUUAUAGAAUAUAUGUGAUAUGACUUUAGGUUAGCUUAUAACAGUAAUCCCUAAAUCCCCCUCAUCAGUCUAAUCAUAUGGGGGAGGAGGUAGAAAUGCAGAUUUUCAGGCCCUGUCCAGACCUACAGAAUUAGAGAAGAAAAAAGCAAGGAACGGGCAAAGCUGGGCAUAAGAAAAAUAUACAGCAAAAUGGACUUAUAUGUGGAAGAAGCAGGUGAAAAGGCUUGAUAUUUCCCCUGGAGUGAAGUGUCCCGCUGAGCUUCUCAGAGUUUCUUCCUAAGUGAGGGUUAACGUCCACUACCUCCCCCUUGAUUGCUCUAAACAGUAGACAGGGCUACCCAUGCCUCAGGGUCUCCCAGCGCUGCAGGAAGCUCAGGCCCAGAGAGCAAGACCCCCCCCCCCCCCCCCCAUUCCACGCCGAACUUUGAAACCUUCUCACUCUCGGCUAUCCCAACUCUGUUAAGUCAGAGGGAAAUCAAUUCCCUUUCCCGAAGGACACGAGUUGCCUCCAUAACUUCCAGGGGGUGCAGGUGAGAACACACGCGUCCCUUCUCUAACCCAAAAAGAGUAGAGACGAGAUAAAUACAGCCAAACUGGGACUAGCGGGACGUCCCGGGGAAAGAGGGAAUCUUUUCUGCUCGUCCGCCCCCAGGAGGCCAGACUUGGGACCUGUCACUUAGAAAAUUCCUUCUAUCUGCGUCUCCCUUAGCAAGACGCGCCCUCAGAAGGGCCGCCAGCCCUGGGAAAUGCCCCCUUCUUUUGGCGGCUAGUAAGAGACCCCUUAGAGUGAGAGAGGAGAAAAGACGCCUCCUUCGGUGUUGGGAAGAAGGGAAAGGGAAAGUGCGGCGAUGAAGGCCAAAGGCUCAAAGUCCCUCCGCCAACGGCCGCUCUGAAGGUGUCCACUGGCGGUCUGGAGUUGCGGCCGCAGUGAGCAGGUGCCAAAGCGCUGCCCACAGGAGGAGUGGGUGGCGGCGCGGGUCGCUAGGAACAUGAGAGCCAGAGCGGGACGCAGCAUGGAGGGGAGAGGUGCUCCUGAGCUGAGCCCAGAUGCCGGCGGGAAAGGCCCCGCCACCCGCGCGCGAAACCCUGACGCUGGCCCUCUAAGACCUUUACCUGCUGCCCUCGGAGUACGUAUAAGAGCAGCAGGCCACGUUUCCACCGGAAAUCCGCCUGUCCCACCUCCUUGCUCUCAGCGGUCUCUGGCAAGCGGCAAGGGGAAGGGGAAGGGGGCAUUCCCUCGGACCCAGAUUCCUCUUUCAGAUCCCCAAAGUUGUUGCAGCGGUGGCCCGGUGUGCUUGCCGACUCUAACUUUUCCAGUACCUGGGAACGCGCGUCUCCUCAUAGUACGGACAGGGAAACUGAGGUCUAGAAGGGGACAAAGACACCCACAGACACCUAGGACAAAAGCUUGAGGCAAGGAGUUCGAACAAACCUUUCCCGGAUCCACCCUGCGGACUGUCGGGUUUCCCCUGGGGCGGUCCCUAGAUAAUAAUAGACACCAUUUGUUGAAGGCUUUACGGGCAGAAACUCACUGAAUUCCCACAAGACAAAGAAGGCAGGUAAGAUCGCCCCCAUUUACAGGUGAGGAAACUGAAGGCUUGUGAUUGAAAUGAAACAACCUGUCCGCCGCCUCACUGCAAAUAAAGUCUCCGAGCAGAAAUUUCCCCAGUCUGUGACCUUAACCUAGGAUCCAAACCAUCCAUCCAAUGGCGGCGCAUUAUCCUUACAUUUGCAUUGGUGCUUCCCCUGGCUCCCCGACCCCCGCCACGCCUCUGCCACAAAGCUCCCAGAUCCCCUGGGUAUCCCAGAUGACAGAGGAGCAAGGGCGCAAGUUGCCGCAGGGCAGGCAGCGGAAGGGAGAUAGGAGGGGAAAACGGUUCUGAAAAGUUCUAAUUCGUGGACUGGAUGCGCAUUCCCGCUGGCAGAUACCGUCACGCGUCUCUCCCGGCAGUCCUAGACAGGGCACGCCAGGGUGGCGCUAACUCCAGCCCUGGAUCUGCCACAUUUGCUGUGUGACCUUCAGUCAGUCGCAACUCCGGGUCCUAGCUGAGGUGUCAGAGCUUCGGGCGCGUGCGGCGUGGUCUAAUUGAUAUAGACUGAACAAGUUUUGGGGGAUGCCUGCGAAGUCCAACAGAGGGCAGAAAUGUGGACACCUGCGGAUGCACUUUAAUUGAGGAAGACCAUAUAGCCUUGGCAUGACCACAGAAAACUAAAAACUAAAAUUAUUUUGAGCUGGGAGAGUACAGUUGGGGACCCGCCGGAAAAGAUCUCCUAAUCCGAGACUGUCCUGAAGCGCGACUAUGCCCUACCUUUAGCCCUUCUCCCACAGUCCUCCAACCUGCUUGAUUGGAGUCUGAUCUGCGAAGGGCCCCCGCUCCCUCGGCGGCGAAAAGAGGCUCCAGGGUGCGGGAAGAGAACUUCCUGGCUGUUUAGACAUUAGCAUCUCUUCAGUAGUGCAAACGUAAAAAAAAAAAAAAAAAGAAAGAAAGAAAGAAAGAAAAGAAAAGAAACAGGCCUGCGAGAAUUUGGAGGCGAAGGGAGGGAAGCCUGUUUGCUUAGGAGAAAGUAGAAGGAAAGGGGAGUUUAGCAGAGAAGCUCGAGAUGCCUGGGUCACAAAAAGUUUUUUUCUUUGAAGCACAAUUCAUUAGAUAUUUAUGCACCGCUCGGCCCUUAGAGGUCUUUGUUGGCCACCGAGAUGCGAGAUGAGUGUGAUGUGAGUGUGCAAAUACGUUUGUAUAAACGAAGGGUGGCUGCAUUUUUAUGGGCCUGUGUAGCACAAGUGUGUACCAGUGAGUGACAGCGCGCACUUGGGUGCAUGUGGACGCUUGUGCUUGAGAAGGAUUGUUGCGCAUAAGCGUUGAGUACACGUGUGCACGUGUAAAGUGUGUGCAUGUGUUACAUGUAGACACGUGUCUCAUGUGAGUGUGCGUGUGCAGAAGUCCGUACGUGUUUAAGAGCAACGUACACUUGUGUGUGAGCCUGAGCUCACACGUGGUUCGUUUGUCCAUGUGUGCAUGUGAAGCCCAGCGAAGAAGUCCCCGAAACCUCCGGUCGCGUGGAAGGAAAGGAGCAGGCAGGAAUCGCGGACUGAGCACCCCAUGGCAAGAGUCGAAACUGCCGCUCCUUCGGCCCGCAGGCAGCCGGAAGCCGCCUACCGGGCUCGGGACUGGCCCGGAGGCCGUGGGUCAGCCCCCAGCUCGGCUCCGGCCCGGCCAGGCGGAUUCCCACUGGGACCCACCAAUUACCAGGACUGCGCUCGAAAUGAUCCCUGCUGGGCAGUUCGGGAGCUCUUAAUUGUUCCUCGCGGACAGUUUCUAAUUAUUAAUACCGUGUGUCCUAAAGGAGACCGCUUCCGGGUUAUUUGCUUAUGAUUUUAUUAUCUUUAUCACCGUCAUUAUUUGGUGGCUGUAUGAAGAUACUGCCAAGCCCACCUAGACCGCCCUGCCCCGCCUCUCCGGCGCCGCCCUGGGCGUGCGGGUUACCCGCAGACACCGGAAUCUUCCCUUACGUGGAGCCACAGCGCCACCUCGCGAUCCCCCAGCCUCCCUCCGGUCACUGCCACCCAAAUUCCCAGUACUGGUGGGUUUUCCAUUCGCUUUCGCCGUUCCUCUUUCCCUGUCUAGAACGGCCCACGUGGCUGGAGCCUUGAGAUCCCCCCAACAUGCCUUGCUAAGCAGCUUUGUACACGACCGGAAUGCCUAUACCCGGUCUCCACCUGGAGAAAUUCUGCUCUCUUUAAAAUCACUAACACAGAGUUCACCUCUUUCAUAAAACCUUUCCAGACCCCUUCUAGGAAGUCAUUCGUGCCUUUCUUUCCCUGAUUUCCCUGGUGCUUAUAUCACAUUGGACAGAAAAUAUUGUUUAAACAUCUCUUUCCCCUCCAUAAUCAAGGAGCACACCUACAGUCACUAUUUUGCUUAUAGCAACAAUAAUAACAGUAAAACCUGGUAUUAACUGAACGCACUAUGAAGCAUCUUACGCAAUGUGCUAUGCUAAGCAUUUUAUUCAUUACCGCGUUUAAUUUUCCCAGCAAAACCGUGAAGUAAGCACCAAUAUAAUUUCCCAGUUUUCAGAUGAGGCCAGAGAGUUCCUGUCUAAGGUUGUAUUGCAGAACCCAACCCAAGUCUGUCUGUCUGAUUUUUCUUAACCUCUUUUCUUAACAUCUGUGCCUCGCAGACUUAUUCAGCUCUAUAUCCACAGGCUUUAAGAUAGGACCAGGCACAGAGUGGACAUUCAUAUAUUUAUGAAUAAAUGAACCACUGCCAAUACAAAUCUUUUCUUCUCCAAGAGAGUUGGGCUAGAAAAACACUGCACUUACCAGAUACCUUGAUUGAAGUGUUACCACAAUGAUUUAUCCCAAAAGAGUAUUCCACUACUAACUAGCUAAGUGACCUUGGUCGAGUCACUUCAUCCUCAAUUCUUCAUUUUUAAAAGUAGGUUUUCUGUGAGUAUUAAAUGAGGGAAAAAUGUGAGGUACUUGAUACAGCCCCUUGUACUGUAAUCAACACUCAGCAAAAGUGUGCUAUUAAUAUAAUUAUUAAUGAGAGUUUUAAAAACUAAAGCACAGAACACAAAAUUGACUUACCCCUAGCCACAUAGAAUUCACCAUACCUCUAUAUAAAAUUAUCUCACUAUUAUAUCUUCAUUUUCAUCAUGGACAUAAAAUAUGUAAUAAAAUAUGUUUAGUUUAUUGUGGUUGGGGUGUUAAUGUUAACCCUGCUCUGUUAUAAAAUUUUAAGGGGCAGGGGGGAAAGAUAUAAUUAAACAGUAAAUCAGCGGGCUUUGACUCUCACCCUUUCCUCCUGCUUUGUAGCUUUUUACCAAGAAAGAUUUAAAGAAAGACUAUAAAAGUGCUUAUUAUUCUGGAAAGUACAAAACCCUAUUUUUUAAUUUAGGGGACAUUCUGAGCUAGUUUGAGUUUUUCCCACUUGAAACACUUUGUUGCUAGUGAUACACUAAAAGUUUAAAAAUAUGUAUCUAAGCAAAUGAUUGUCCCCAAAUAAAAAAGAAAUGACGGUUGUCUAAACAUAUCCCAGACUUUCAGACAUUUCCCAAAAAGGCUAAGUUUUAGAGGUUCAGGGUCUCUUUUCAGAGUGACUCAUUAGAUAAUUACUACUAUUAGCAUCUAAGCGAAAAUGAACUUUUCUGUCUGAUCAGGCUAUAACUUUCCUACUAUCAAAUUCUUUUGGAAGACUAUUGACCAGUACAGUUAUGUCAUAAAGAAACAAAAAGAGCCUGAUAAAAUCCACAAAAGGCACAAGUGUGUCUCCCCAUUUAGCUGGCCCACAGCGCAUUUCCAGAAACUUUAUCCCAACCCCAAUUUAUUUUAGUUCAUUUGUACCUGCUUCUCAUUCUAUGCAAUACUCUUGUAUGAAGAUGAAGAAACAAAUUCAGGAAACUUUAUCAGCAACAAAUUAAUGUGUUAAGAGAUUUUAUUGUAUAGCUGCCAGGUAUUUUAUUAUCCUGGAUUGGGGAUUUGAUUCGUAUUGACUGUGUGAGACCCUGUCUUCUUGACAGUUUGGGGAGGGAGCAUGUCUAUUCUGUUUUCUUUUCUUCUUUAUUUCUAGAAUGGUCUCCAUUAGCGAUGUUCACUAAAAUUAUGGCUUCCCUACUUCCAGGUGCACAGUAGGAGUAGAGUAUUCUGAUUCUUCUGCAUUUAGAUGCAACCCUAUUGUUUGCUUUGAUAAAUUUAGAAUUAUCAGUAAUAUGUGCUAUUUAGAGGCAAAAGCUUUAAGAUCCAAUGUGCAAUUCGCCAAUUCACCUUCCCCAUGCCACAGCCUCCAGUGACCCUCCAGAUGGAGUUUCCUUCAGCCUGCCACUCUUUGCAAAGAUAAUGUGGAGCGGAGACCUCUCCAACCCACAGUGAACAUUUAACAUGAAUGUGAAAUAAUCUUUUGUUACUAUAAGUCCCAGAGAUUUUUUAUGGCAGCAUAACUGAGUCUUUCCUGACUAAUAUGCCUAGGAAGGAAGCUCACAUUUCUUUUUCUUCCUUCCUUUUUUUCUUUUUUCCUUCCUCCCUCCCUCCCUCGUUCCCUCCUUCUCCCUCUUUCCUUCUUUCUUUUUCUUUCUUCCUUUUUUUUUGUGGACAAUGUGGAAAUUCUUCUCUUAGAGUGUAAGACUUCCACAUCUAAUUAAAUAAUCAGAUAAUGCAAUUAUUCAGUUAGAAGCCUGUAUCUCGUUUUCUUACUCCAUUCAUACAUCUCCUAUGGGUCAAAACAUCAUUUAGAAAACUCUGAAAUGGAAAACAACAACUGAAUUUUAGAAGCACUGAAAAUGAAUCUCAGAGUCAUUGCUAGAUCUCCACAGGAAUUUCUUGGGGGCUUGCGGCCUGCUUGCAUAUUCACAAUGAAGGGUGUGCCAUAGGCUGUGAUUCAAAGAGAUUUUGUCAGCGAUUUUAUGAGGGGACAGAGAAACAUGUCUUCCUUCAGUGUUUAAUUUCCUUCGGUCCAUAAUUUCAGGAUGGUGAAGGGGAAAAAUAUUUGGCUAAUCAACUUGUAUUUAAGGAACAUGACCUAUGGCAAGUUAUUUAACUUUUCUAGACCUUACUUUCGUCAUCUGGGAAAUAAGAGUAGGAGACCAGAUAAUCUUCAGGAUGCCAGCCAGUUCUAAUCAGCUGGAAUUCUGAGAUAUUCGGGUGAUUAUCAGUUUCAGGAGUCCAUGCUACAGUAUAGAAUCUUCUUGUAUUUCUAUCCUCAGCAUUAUUUUGUGAAACAUUUUAAAUUUUUUCAUGCUGAGCCCAACUUAAAACAACUGCUUCUUGGGCAAAAUAGAUAGUGCUUCUUCUCUUCCACCUCAAAUGUUUUCAAUGUUGGAAUCUGCCAGAAGAGUGGGCCAUAUAGAUUUGGGGCCAUGUAAAAUGGCUUGUCACUUUCUAGUCAAGAGGGAAAUUUUUCUUUUCUUUUUCUUCUUCUUUCUUUUUUUCGUUAUCUUUUUCUUUCUUUCUCUUUGAGAGGUAUUUUCCUCAGGUUUCAUUAUCAGACUACCUAAGGAAAUUUCUUGUGAAUUUUCAGGAAACUUUUGAGACAAAAUAUUGAUUGCGUGACAAAUGCUGUGGAGUGAAAUCAUUGCUAAUUAUUCUUUAUUCUUAAUGUGGUAUGACUGAUUGCCAGAAACAAUACUAUUACCUUCAUUUGGAUAAUAAUUUAUGGUUGACAAAGAGUUAUUGCCUUGAUUCCGCUCAGUGAACCAUGCCAACUGACAUUUCUCCCCUGUUUCACAGAGGAGGAGCUGAGGUUUUGAUUUGCCCGUGGCGUGUGGCUAGCAAGCAGUGGGGCUUGACUGUAACCCAGGAGCCACACUGCCUAUGAAAUUAAGAAAGCUGUCUGCUACCUUACUUACUUCUGUCAACCAAUUCCUGGUUUCUCUCUUCUCUGGACACCCAAAAAAGAUUAUGGCCCUCUCUUUGAAGUUAGUGUGGUCAUCUGACUUCGUUGAGCCAGAGCAUUUCCUUAAAGGUAAGAGAACCCCCAGAGUACUUGCUCCCCUCAAC
rnacentral:lncRNA from 1 species